rnacentral:rRNA from 1 species
ACACGUGGGCAAUCUGCCCUGCACUCUGGGACAAGCCCUGGAAACGGGGUCUAAUACCGGAUGACACUCUUCCUCGCAUGGGGAGGGGUUGAAAGCUCCGGCGGUGCAGGAUGAGCCCGCGGCCUAUCAGCUAGUUGGUGAGGUAGAAGCUCACCAAGGCGACGACGGGUAGCCGGCCUGAGAGGGCGACCGGCCACACUGGGACUGAGACACGGCCCAGACUCCUACGGGAGGCAGCAGUGGGGAAUAUUGCACAAUGGGCGAAAGCCUGAUGCAGCGACGCCGCGUGAGGGAUGACGGCCUUCGGGUUGUAAACCUCUUUCAGCAGGGAAGAAGCGCAAGUGACGGUACCUGCAGAAGAAGCGCCGGCUAACUACGUGCCAGCAGCCGCGGUAAUACGUAGGGCGCAAGCGUUGUCCGGAAUUAUUGGGCGUAAAGAGCUCGUAGGCGGCUUGUCACGUCGGUUGUGAAAGCCCGGGGCUUAACCCCG